rnacentral:rRNA from 1 species
GAUGAACGCUGGCGGCGUGCCUAAUACAUGCAAGUCGAGCGAACGGACGAGAAGCUUGCUUCUCUGACGUUAGCGGCGGACGGGUGAGUAACACGUGGAUAACCUACCUAUAAGACUGGGAUAACUUCGGGAAACCGGAGCUAAUACCGGAUAAUAUUUUGAACCGCAUGGUUCAAUAGUGAAAGACGGUCUUGCUGUCACUUAUAGAUGGAUCCGCGCCGCAUUAGCUAGUUGGUAAGGUAACGGCUUACCAAGGCAACGAUGCAUAGCCGACCUGAGAGGGUGAUCGGCCACACUGGAACUGAGACACGGUCCAGACUCCUACGGGAGGCAGCAGUAGGGAAUCUUCCGCAAUGGGCGAAAGCCUGACGGAGCAACGCCGCGUGAGUGAUGAAGGUCUUCGGAUCGUAAAACUCUGUUAUUAGGGAAGAACAAAUGUGUAAGUAACUGUGCACAUCUUGACGGUACCUAAUCAGAAAGCCACGGCUAACUACGUG